rnacentral:lncRNA from 10 species
AAGACUUCAUUCUUCCCAGCAGCACUGGAGAAAGCUUUUCACUGAGCCCAUUUAAUCCAAGUAUUGAAGGAUGUACAGGAGACCUCCAGGAGGGCAAGUUAACCUUCAGAGAUGCCUCUUUAUUGUGGGCAGAAGCCAGCAGCCUGCUAAACACCCACAGCAUGACUGGUGAUCCAAUCUUUUCCCAACAGACGAACACAAAGCAGACUUCAUUUCCACAGUUGUUUCAGGAUCACUUUUUCUGGGGCUGAGGAUGCAAGGAUAGCAGAGCUCACGUGGACAUCUCACAGGACUGCAAGUGCACUGGUGGAGUAAGCAGCCCAGGAGAGGGAGGAAAUGAACAGAGAUCAGGCAGAUGAAUGUAUUUAUAAAGGCAAGGCUAACUGCUAUAAUUAAUAAAUUAUGAGAUUUUGCUGGCUUAUAAUGGGGUAUACUUUUGCGUAUGUAAAAGUUCUAUGUGAGUGUGCCUGCUAAGCAAGGGUCUUUCUCCAGGCUGUGAUUCGGGGACACAGGCUCCUAUCAUCUUGUGGCUCUGGCAUUAACUAGGGCCUUUAAGUCUUCUGCAACCAGGUUAAAGAGGAAAGAAAGUGGAAAUCAUUCACCUCUUAACUAUUGUGUACUAGAAAUGAAACACAAAAUUUCCACCUGAACUUCAUAGUGAAAGCUAGUAAAAUGGCUCCACUUAGAUGCAAACAGUGGCGUGGGACUGAAAAAUAUGGUUCCUAUAGUUCAGGCACUUCCCAGAAACAUCUAUUUUCUGUGGAAGGGGACAGUUAGCCAUCACUGCCAAAAUGCAGCUGCAAGGACACUGGCUAGAGGAUGGUCUAGUGUUUGCUGGCUCUUUCUUAGUUUGACUUCAACAGCAGCAAGUAAAUUUUAUCUUUUAUUUGCUUUGAAAAGAAAUAGGUGAGAUUUCUUUAAAUAAUUCUCCAUGGACAGUCAUGAUUGCUGUUUAACAAUAGAAGAAACGAAAGAAGGAAGAAAGAAUGAGAAGGAAAGGAAGAAAAAAGAAAACGAAGAAUUGGAAAAAAAAAGAAAAGAAAACCAUAUGUAGUGAGUAUAGAAGGCAUUGAAAAAACCCACAAGUUAUUUCACAAAAUGUAAUGUUGGGGAAAAAUACAUGUUGGGAAAAGCAGAAAUAAUCUAAAUUGAGACAUAUUUACCAUAUUUCCAUG